UACGAAGGGGGCUAGCGUUGCUCGGAAUCACUGGGCGUAAAGGGUGCGUAGGCGGGUCUUUUAAGUCAGGGGUGAAAUCCUGGAGCUCAACUCCAGAACUGCCUUUGAUACUGAGGAUCUUGAGUUCGGGAGAGGUGAGCGGAACUGCGAGUGUAGAGGUGAAAUUCGUAGAUAUUAGGAAGAACACCAGUGGCGAAGGCGGCUUACUGGUCCGGAACUGACGCUGAGGUGCGAAAGCGUGGGGAGCAAACAGG
rnacentral:rRNA from 1 species